GGAAUUAUUGGGCGUAAAGCGUGAGCAGGUGGCAUGUUAAGUCUAAAGUCAAAUCCAGUCGCUCAACGACUGUUCGCUUUAGAUACNGGCGUGCUAGAGUGCGAGAGAGGUAAGUGGAAUUCCAUGUGUAGCGGUGAAAUGCGUAGAUAUAUGGAGGAACACCAGUGGCGAAGGCGGCUUACUGGCUCGUAACUGACACUCAGUCACGAAAGCGUGGGUAGCAAAUAGGAUUAGAUACCCUAGUAGUCCACGCUGUCAACUAUGGGAGCUAGACGUUGGAGAAAUCCAGUGUCGUAGCUAACGCGAUAAGCUCCCCGCCUGGGUAGUACGUUCGCAAGAAUAAAACUUAAAGGAAUUGACGGGAGCCCGCACAAGCAGUGGAGCAUGUGGUUUAAUUCGACGCUACGCGAAGAACCUCACCAGGACUUGACAUCUGGUUAAAGUGCCUAGAGAUAGGUAGAUAGUUAUAGCCAAGACAGGUGGUGCAUGGUUGUCGUCAGCUCGUGUCGUGAGAUGUUGGGUUAAGUCCCGCAACGAGCGCAACCCUUGUCCUUAGUUGCCAUCAUUUAGUUGGGAACUCUAAGGGAACUGCCGAUGUAAAUCGGAGGAAGGUGGGGAUGACGUCAAAUCAUCAUGCCCUUUAUGUCCUGGGCCACACACGUGCUACAAUGGCCGUUACAAAGGGAUGCUAACCCGCGAGGAUCAGCCAAACUCAAAAAAACGGUCUCAGUUCGGAUUGGAGUNUNCAACNNGACUCCAUGAAGCUGGAAUUGCUAGUAAUCGCAGAUCAGNUANGNUGUGGUAAAUACGUUCCCGGACCUUGUNCACACCGCCCGUCAUCUUGCUGAAAAAC
rnacentral:rRNA from 1 species